GAUGAACGCUGGCGGCGUGCCUAAUACAUGCAAGUCGAGCGAACAGACGAGGAGCUUGCUCCUCUGACGUUAGCGGCGGACGGGUGAGUAACACGUGGAUCACCUACCUAUAAGACUGGGAUAACUUCGGGAAACCGGAGCUAAUACCGGAUAAUAUAUUGAACCGCAUGGUUCAAUAGUGAAAUACGGUUUUGCUGUCUCUUAUAGAUGGAUCCGCGCGGCAUUAGCUAGUUGGUAGGGUAACGGCUUACCAGGGCAACGAUGCGUAGCCGACGGGAGGGAGGGAUCGGCGACAUGGGAGCGGGAACAGGGACAAGGCUCCUACGGGAGGGAGCAGAAGGGAAUGUUCCGCAAGGGGCGGAAGCCUGGCGGAGCGAGGCCGCGUGAGUGAUAGAGGUCUUGGGAGCGUAAAGCCCUGUUAUUAGGGAAGAACAAAUGUGUAAGUAACUGUGCACGUCUUGACGGUACCUAAUCAGAAAGCCACGGCUAACUACGUG
rnacentral:rRNA from 1 species